rnacentral:misc_RNA from 1 species
AUUUUCAAAAUUUUAUUUCAAAUAAAGAUGUGCAAAACACCUUUUCAAAAUACACAGGUUAAACAACACGUUUACAAAACAGGCUGGUGGGGCCGUACCAAAGGCGCUAACCGAUGGUCCUAAUCCACCACCAAAAUACAAUAUUGGUUCACACAGGGGUAUAUGAAGGGUAAAAACCCGACAUAAAUAUAAUCCAUUAAUGAUCCAACCGCAGGUUCACCUACGGUUA